UGCUAUAAUUCCAAACCGUGUGCUUUGUGGUUUUCGUAAUUUUUCUUAGUCUUUUAUGUAUAUUUAUAGCCCCAUUUUAAAUAUUCAGUGUUAAGUAAACUUAUUAACCUUCAAAACCAGUUAAUUUUACUUUAUCCAUCACAUACAUACACGCGCACAGACACACACACAAAUAUAGCGUUAGUAUGUAGCCCGAAAAGGCGACGAAAGUGCUGACAUAUUUUAAGAGAGAGAGAGAGAGAGAGAGAUCCAUAUUAAUUAAUUACGUGUGGAAAGGGGAGAAUAAAAUGACUAAAUACUAUAAAACUAAUUGAGAUUAGCAUGUUCAGUAACAGUGUUCACCACCUGAUUUUCAGAUUAUGUAUUUCUUUAUUACUUUAUUAGUAAUUGCAUUGUGUCCAUCCACCACCAUUUGCUAAGAGCAAAUAUUAAUUACAAUUCCCCCGCAAAGAAAUUUUACCUGCAAUUUCAAAGCAUAAUUAUGCACUACGUUUCCCAUGAUGCAGUUCCUCUAAAAUACAUGCGCAGAAAUCUUGACUAACCAUAUAAAUCGUAGUCGCCUGCGCUCGCCCCUUCUUUUCUCUUCGUCGGUCAUUGUAUGCUGGGUUGAGUAUGGGAUGCUUAAAGAGCUGCGCUAUUAAAAGGACCAGAAGAACUGAAGAUUUCUUGAAUUUUAAGAAAUGCCAGGUAGAUGACAUAUUGGAGAGUUUGGCAUUAAGUCUGACAGAUUACUACAAAACAGUGCAAUGGCUUUUCAGGGGUGGUGAAUAGCUUGGCCAAAGCAGAUGGGUGACCCAUGAAAGCAGAGAGUUAAGGAGCUGUUAUGCUGAUCUAAAGAGAAUGGAGUGCUGAGACCACACGUGAGUAGGAUGAGUUUAAUGCCAAAGCAAAUGUAUAAGAAAUAAAUUAUUUGCCAUGAA